rnacentral:rRNA from 1 species
UUUUGGACAGGGGGGGGGCGAGCCUGAUCCAGCCGUUCCCGCGUGAGUGAAGAAGGCCUUUUGGUCGCAAAAAUCUUUCGCAAAGGGAGAAAACUUACUUUUUUUAUAAAGAGUGAGGUUGACGGUACCUUGAUAAGAAGCACCGCGCUAACUACGUGCCAGCAGCCGCGGUAAUACGUAGGGUGCGAGCGUUAAUCGGAAUUACUGGGCGUAAAGCGUGCGCAGGCGGCUUUGUAGGUCUGAUGUGAAAUUCCCGAGCUCAACUUGGGAACUGCGUUUGAAACUACAAGGCUAGAAUAUGUCAGAGGGGGGUAGAAUUCCACGUGUAGCAGUGAAAUGCGUAGAGAUGUGGAGGAAUACCAAUGGCGAAGGCAGCCCCCGAGUUGAUAUUACGUCAACACAGGUCUUUAGG